ensembl:Mt_rRNA
UAAAGGCUUGGUCCUGACUUUACUGUCAGCUCUGGCUAAACUUACACAUGCAAGUAUCCGCACCCCUGUGAGAAUGCCCUCCAGUCUCCCGCCCGGAAACAAGGAGCCGGUAUCAGGCACGGUAGACACCUGCCCAUGACACCUUGCUUAGCCACACCCUCAAGGGACAUCAGCAGUGAUAGAUAUUAAGCCAUAAGUGAAAACUUGACUUAGUUAAGGCCUAGAGGGCCGGUAAAACUCGUGCCAGCCACCGCGGUUAUACGAGAGGCUCAAGUUGACAGACAACGGCGUAAAGAGUGGUUAGGGAAAUUUUAAACUAAAGCCAAACGUCCUCAAAGCUGUUUAACGCUCCCGAGUUAAGAAGAUCCAUUACGAAAGUAGCUUUACCCAUCCUGACCCCACGAAAGCUGUGACACAAACUGGGAUUAGAUACCCCACUAUGCUCAGCCCUAAAAUUUGAUAGGCCCCUACGCCCCCUAUCCGCCCGGGUACUACGAGCAUCAGCUUAAAACCCAAAGGACUUGGCGGUGCUUCACAUCCGUCUAGAGGAGCCUGUUCUAGAACCGAUAACCCCCGUUGAACCUCACCCUCCCUUGUUAAUACCGCCUAUAUACCGCCGUCGUCAGCCUACCCUGUGAAGGACUAGAAGUGAGCAAGAUUGGUAAGACCCAAAACGUCAGGUCGAGGUGUAGUGUAUGAGAGGGGAAGAAAUGGGCUACAUUUCCUAAAUCAGGAAACACGAACAAUGAACUGAAACAAGCAUUUGAAGGUGGAUUUAGCAGUAAGCAAGAAAACAGAGUGUUCUGCUGAAACAUGGCAAUAAAGCACGCACAUAUCGCCCGUCACUCUCCCCGAGCUAAUACGAAUAUAAUACCUAAAAAAUUACAUCUGCAAAGGGGAGGCAAGUCGUAACAUGGUAAGCGUACCGGAAGGUGCGCUUGGAACAAU